CCUAGCCUUAUACUGGAGCAUAGCCUCGGGAAACUGAGAUUAACUCUCCAUAACAUUGCAGUAUGGCAUCAUACAGCAAUUAAAACUCCGGUGGUAUAAGAUGGGUGUGCGUCUGAUUAGGUAGUUGGUGAGGUAACGGCUCACCAAGCCGACGAUCAGUAGCUGGUCUGAGAGGACGAUCAGCCACACGGGCACUGAGACACGGCCCAG
rnacentral:rRNA from 1 species